rnacentral:rRNA from 1 species
AGAAUCAACGCUGGCGGCGUGCCUAACACAUGCAAGUCGAACGAGAAAGGGUAGCAAUACCUGAGUAAAGUGGCGCACGGGUGAGUAACACGUGACUAACCUACCUUUUAGUGGGGGAUAACCUAGGGAAACCUGGGCUAAUACCGCAUAAUACCUACGGGUCAAAGCAGCAAUGCGCUGGAAGAGGGGGUCGCGGCCGAUUAGCUAGUUGGCGGGGUAAUGGCCCACCAAGGCAGUGAUCGGUAUCCGGCCUGAGAGGGCGCACGGACACACUGGAACUGAAACACGGUCCAGACUCCUACGGGAGGCAGCAGUGGGGAAUUUGCGCAAUGGGGGAAACCCUGACGCAGCAACGCCGCGUGGAGGAUGAAGACCCUUGGGUCGUAAACUCCUUUCGAUCGGGACGAUAAUGACGGUACCGGAAGAAGAAGCCCCGGCUAACUUCGUGCCAGCAGCCGC